GACGAACGCUGGCGGCGUGCUUAACACAUGCAAGUCGAACGGAAAGGCCCUGCUUUUGUGGGGCGCUCGAGUGGCGAACGGGUGAGUAACACGUGAGUAACCUGCCCUUGACUUUGGGAUAACUUCAGGAAACUGGGGCUAAUACCGGAUAGGAGCUCCUGCUGCAUGGUGGGGGUUGGAAAGUUUCGGCGGUUGGGGAUGGACUCGCGGCUUAUCAGCUUGUUGGUGGGGUAGUGGCUUACCAAGGGUUUGACGGGUAGCCGGCCUGAGAGGGUGACCGGCCACAUUGGGACUGAGAUACGGCCCAGACUCCUACGGGAGGCAGCAGUGGGGAAUAUUGCACAAUGGGCGGAAGCCUGAUGCAGCAACGCCGCGUGCGGGAUGACGGCCUUCGGGUUGUAAACCGCUUUCGCCGGUGACGAAGCGUGAGUGACGGUAAUGGGUAAAGAAGCACCGGCUAACUACGUG
rnacentral:rRNA from 1 species